UGCUCAUCUCGGCAACAAUAUACUAAAAUUAGAACAAUACAAAGAUUAUCAUGGCCCCUACACAAAGAUGAUGCAAAAAUUUCUGAAGUGUUCCAUAAUUUU